rnacentral:rRNA from 1 species
UAGGGAAUAUUGGGCAAUGGAGGCGACUCUGACCCAGCCAUGCCGCGUGCCGGAAGAAGGCGCUACGCGUUGUAAACGGCUUUUUUUCGGGAAGAAAACGCUCCUGCGGGAGUAACUGACGGUACCGAAGGAAUCAGCACCGGCUAACUCCGUGCCAGCAGCCGCGGUAAUACGGAGGGUGCAAGCGUUGUCCGGAUUCAUUGGGUUUAAAGGGUGCGCAGGCGGGAGAUUAAGUCAGGGGUGAAAGACGGUUGCUCAACAAUCGCAGUGCCCUUGAUACUGGUUUUCUUGGGUGACCUUGAGGUAGGCGGAAUGGGUGGUGUAGCGGUGAAAUGCAUAGAUACCACCCAGAACUCCGAUUGCGAAGGCAGCCUACUGGAGGUUAACCGACGCUCAGGCACGAAAGCGUGGGGAUCAAACAG